rnacentral:rRNA from 1 species
UACAGAGGUCUCAAGCGUUGUUCGGAUUCAUUGGGCGUAAGGGUGCGUAGGUGGCGCGGUGAGUCGGGUGUGAAAUUUCGGAGCUUAACUCCGAAACUGCAUUCGAUACUGCCGUGCUUGAGGACUGGAGAGGAGACUGGAAUUUACGGUGUAGCAGUGAAAUGCGUAGAGAUGUGGAGGAACACCAGUGGCGAAGGCGACUUUUUGGCCUGUAACUGACGCUGAGGCGCGAAAGCGUGGGGAGCAAACGGGG